rnacentral:rRNA from 1 species
GACGAACGCUGGCGGCGUGCCUAAUACAUGCCAGUAGAACGCUGAAGGAGGAGCUUGCUUCUCUGGAUGAGUUGCGAACGGGUGAGUAACGCGUAGGUAACCUGCCUGGUAGCGGGGGAUAACUAUUGGAAACGAUAGCUAAUACCGCAUAAUAGUAGAUGUUGCAUGACAUUUGCUUAAAAGGUGCAAUUGCAUCACUACCAGAUGGACCUGCGUUGUAUUAGCUAGUUGGUGAGGUAACGGCUCACCAAGGCAACGAUACAUAGCCGACCUGAGAGGGUGAUCGGCCACACUGGGACUGAGACACGGCCCAGACUCCUACGGGAGGCAGCAGUAGGGAAUCUUCGGCAAUGGACGGAAGUCUGACCGAGCAACGCCGCGUGAGUGAAGAAGGUUUUUGGAUCGUAAAGCUCUGUUGUAAGAGAAGAACGAGUGUGAGAGUGGAAAGUUCACACUGUGACGGUAUCUUACCAGAAAGGGACGGCUAACUACGUG